ensembl:lncRNA PCBP1-AS1 PCBP1 antisense RNA 1
GCCAUGUUUCCUGAACACAAAAUGGCGACACGUGGUUAGCAUUCGUCGCCAACGAGAAAUUGGGGUCGGCCCGAAAGCUCUAGAAUGCACCCCUCUUCCUCCCCGGGGCCUUCCACCUCCGCGAGUUUUAUGACUUAAAAAAGCCCACAGGCUGGUCUGAAGAGGAAGACAAACAUAAAGAUGAAGUGCUUAAUUCAAGGUCACACAAUGUCGGGGAUGGACCUCCAGAUUUCCUUACUGGUGAGACGUGGUCUUGUAACACAGUGGUUAAGAAUGUGACUUUGGAGCCAGCCUGCUAGGGGCUGAAUUCUGACUCAGCCAUUUACUAACUGUGUGACCUUAGGGAGGAGGACCUGGUUGAUAGAAGAAUUUAUCUCGUAGUCUUAACAUCCACUGUAAUUCCAAACUUUGAGGACGAUAGAGAUCAGUGGGCUUUGACUGCCCAGCAUGCAGUCUCCAUUCUUAGGUGGGUUCCCAAGCCUGUAAAAUGUAAGCCUUAUGCUGCUGAGGGCCAUCUUGCCACCCUGAGGGAAACGCUGCCUGAGAAUGAAACAAGCAUAAGUAAAAGCUGAGCUGUGAGAUGGAGCAAGAUGAAGGCCACAUGACAUCUUUGGAGCACCUGGAUCUAACUGUGCCUUAAGCUAGUCUAACCCUGAACAUUUCAUCAUUUCAUUGACAUGAGCCCAGGUUUUCUUUUUUUUUGGAUGGAGUCUUGCUCUGUCGCCCAGGCUGGAGUGCAGUAGCUCAAUCUCGGCUCACUGCAAGCUCCACCUCCCGGGUUCACGCCAUUCUCCUGCCUUAGCCUCCCAAGUAGCUGGGACAACAGGCGCCCACCACCACUCCCAGCUAAUUUUUUGUAUUUUUAGUAGAGACGGGGUUUUACCAUGUUAGCCGGGAUGGUCUUGAUCUCCUGACCUCAUGAUCCGCCCGCCUCGGCCUCCCAAAGUGCUGGGAUUACAGGUGUGAGCCACUGCACCCAGCCCUCAGGUUUUCCCUUUUUUUACCCCUCCUUUUGAAAAUUUGAUGUGGAAUUUUGCCACCUGCAGCCAGAAGAGUUUUAACUAAUCAGUGCCAUAAAUUUUAUAUAGUUCUCCUUGCAAAAUGUGGAUCAGCCUUUCUCAGCAAAUCCUUUGUCAUAAAGUGCUGAAUUGUAAGUUUGUCAUGAGAAUCACAUGAGAUCAUGCAUGUGAAGAACCUGGCAUUAUCCUCCUCAUAGAAAAAAACCAGUAAAUAUUAACUACAGGAAGCAAGGAAGGAGUGGGGUGAGGGGAAGAAGAAGGGGUACUGAUUUAAAAGAACCCUGGAGUCCUAAGGAUAAUCUAGGAACCCUCAGACCCAAUCCGAUACCCCUAUUCUAAAUGCUCCUAGUGCCCUGUACCUUCCCCUCAUAAGCCUUCAUUAUCAUUGUAAUGAUAUGUUUAUGUAAUAUUUUGAUUAAUGUCUCUCCUUCACUGACCUAGCAGUUCUAGCAGGGCAGUGAUUUUGCUGUGUUGCAUCCCCAGCACCUAGUCUGGUAUGUGGCAUUCAGCAUAUGUUUAUUGAAUGAAUGGCCAUGUGGUUAUUCAGAUCCUCCUUGAUUAUUGGGGUUAGGAUUGUGGCAGAAGUGGCAAAAUCAGGGAGAGUAGUCCCUGUCCCCUCUGUAUCUUAUACACUGCCCACACUCCCAACACACAUACACAUACAGAGAAUUUUGUCUCAAUUAGAUAAUUAACUUCUGCUUGGUUGUAAACCAAACCACUGGUUCUUAAACUUUCAUUGGAUCAUUUUAUUGAAGAAUUAAAUAGUGUGGUUCUGGCCUAAUGUCUGGAAAGCCUUGCAGAGGAGUGGAUUAGGUCUUUGUGAUAAACAGGCAGCCUUCCCUGCUCCUGUGUCUUUAUAAAAUCUAUUUAACUGGAGUAGUCCACCCUCCCUCAGGCUCUUACAGGAAUAUGUUGGAGGCUGUAGGAAGGUGGGAAACCGAGAGGGAAAGGACUGGGCCGCUGGAGACUUCACUCAUUCCCUAGCAAGAAACAAAAGCAGUAAAAGGUGGCCCGAGGACAACCUGAAGCUCACUCCUUCAGCACUUUUGGCUGGAGGUCACUUGUUGGAGCCCCACUCAGAGCUCAGCACACCACCCCACCAGCAGCCUCCUCCUCCCAGCUGAGGCUGCAUUUCAUCCCUUCCCCCAGCCUGCUUUCCCUGAGAUAGGGGAGUGUUUCCCAGGGCCCAUGUGACUUCCACUGGCAAGUGACGAUUACCAAUGGUUUACUAGUCAGUGAAACUACCAAAGGCUUUUGUGCUGUAGUAAUCCUUUUCCUGUUUAAAACUCUGGGGAUUUUCUAAUGUUGCCAAUAGUUUUUCAAGUCAGCAAUUACUGUGUGGAUUAUGUAAUGGCUCGGUAUUAAAAAUAGAAAAGACUGGA